rnacentral:rRNA from 1 species
CACCGGCGGCUCGAGUGGUGGCCACUUUUAUUGGGUCUAAAGCGUCCGUAGCCGGCUUGGCAAGUCCCCUGGGAAAUCUGGCGGCUUAACCGUCAGGCGUCCAGAGGAUACUGCCAGGCUUGGGACCGGGAGAGGUGAGAGGUACCUCAGGGGUAGCGGUGAAAUGUGUUGAUCCUUGGAGGACCACCUAUGGCGAAGGCACUUGUCUGGAACGGGUCCGACGGUCAGGGACGAAAGCUGGGGGCACGAACCGG